GACAGAGGGUGCAAGCGUUGUUCGGAAUUAUUGGGCGUAAAGCACACGUAGGCGGUUUUCUAAGUCUGAUGUGAAAGCCUUGGGCUCAACCCAAGAAGUGCAUCGGAAACUGGGAGACUUGAGUUUCGGAGAGGGUGGUGGAAUUCCGAGUGUAGAGGUGAAAUUCGUAGAUAUUCGGAGGAACACCAGUGGCGAAGGCGACCACCUGGACGAAAACUGACGCUGAGGUGCGAAAGCGUGGGGAUCAAACAGG
rnacentral:rRNA from 1 species